UGGGAGACCUUCUGUGGCCACUCUCACAGGCAAAGCAACACAAAAGACCUGCAUGGCCUUGCAGACCUAGCACCUCAUGGUAAUAAGAGACUCCUGAAAACAGACGAGGUUCUUCAGCUUCCGAAAGCAGGUGAGAAGAAGAUGAACAGUGAAAACUAAAACACAGGGAU